ensembl:lncRNA
UGGCACAUUUGGUUUUUUAUGCUUUUUACUUGUUUGAAAAAAAAAUCAACAGAAAAACCUCUGUGUCUUAUAAUACAUAAAAAGUCUAUUUGCUUUAAAGAAAAAACACAUCUCAAUUUGUUCCCAUUUUUUCUCCUACUCAGUCUUUAAACAACUUCAGCUCUAUUAUAUUGGAAACUACAGUAAUUAUAAGGUUUAAUACUUCCAUUAUAUUUUGAGUUAUUUUAUUUUAUACCUGAACAGGAGUUGAAGUCUUUAAAAAUAACUAAACUUUGCACUUGUAGCUACAGGUGGAUUUCUGGAGGAGGUGAAUGUUGCACAAGAUAAAAUGCAGUAAAGGCUAUUUCAUCAACACAAACAAAUCCUCCCUGUAAAAGUUCAGAAUUUUUGAAGGCAUGGAUAUAUUCUUUCCAAUAUACAUGACCAAAACAAUUAUGUCAAAAAAAAACCAUUUAAAUCUGCAUUCUAGUUGAUGGAAAGUUUGUUGGUUUUUUUUUAAUAUAGAUUUUAUUUUAAUUUUAAUAAUUUCUACGAAGGGUAUUUGGGACCUGAAAAUAAUGACACUGUAUAGAAUAAGUUACCUUUUCUUUAUAUGACCAUUUAAUUAAUGUGGUUUGUUCUGUCAAAUAGGAAAAAAAAAUCCCUGUGCACUGGAAUAUAAUCUCAAGACAUUGGAAUUGAAUUUUCUGGACCUUGGGAGAUAAGUGAUUAACCACAAAGCACUCAACAGACACUUGGUUGUCUACACAAAACAUUUUCCAGAAAAGCCUGUUCUAUUUUCACUCUUGGCAGGGCAAAACCAUGUUACUGCAGGCUUUAACAUAGUUUUUUUUGUGCCAUUUCUGCCUUCUACAUUUUUAAAGGUGUCAAGAUCAGCGGUGAUCACCCACUGCAGCACAUCACAACGUGCUCACUUCAAAACAAACUUGGUUCAGAUACUCAGACAAGAGGGUCAACAUAAACAGAACAGUCUAAGAACACAGUGAGAAGAAUUGUUCUACCCAAAGCUAAAAUAACCCUCAGUUCCUAUAAUUAUUUCAUUUUUGUUCAGUACUAACACAACUUCAGUUAGAAAAUGGCCGGAAAAAUGAACAGAGAGACACUUUACACUGAAUUAUAUGUUGUAUCUUAUCUUUAAAGUAAUAUAACUCAAAAUAACACAAGAUUUUGGCACAUUAACUGCACAAAACAUUUAACAUCCUCGUGCUGUAAAAUUUUCAUUUAGGCGCUUAAUUCAGUUUGAAAUGUUUAUUAAAAUAUUUCAAUCGUAACUUUUUUUGUGGACUGUCAUAGCUCUACUAACAUUUAUCCUCCUGGAUAAUUAAAUUUGGAUAAAGUAAUUUAGACUCCUAAAAGUUCCAAAUGUCCAAGCUGAUUAUAUGAGCAUAUAUCUAUAUGCAAGGCUUUCGUUAUAAGGAAUCAUUUGUCUUCAGAAGAGAUUUCAAAUCUACUAAAACUGUUCUAUUUUUCCUGUCAUUUACAAUUUCCUGCUGAACACUGAUGGAUAAUCACCAGAGGAAUGAUUAGCAUGAGCUAAUUUACUGAAAUGUCUUUAUAUGUUCUUUACAGAGUAAAAAGUAGACAAUAAAUGACUUUCAUGUGCAUUUCUCUUUAGAAAC